rnacentral:rRNA from 1 species
ACACUCCUACGGGAGGCAGCAGUGGGGAAUUUUGGACAAUGGGCGAAAGCCUGAUCCAGCAAUGCCGCGUGAGUGAAGAAGGCCUUCGGGUUGUAAAGCUCUUUUGUCAGGGAAGAAACGGUGAAAGCUAAUAUCUUUUGCUAAUGACGGUACCUGAAGAAUAAGCACCGGCUAACUACGUGCCAGCAGCCGCGGUAAUACGUAGGGUGCAAGCGUUAAUCGGAAUUACUGGGCGUAAAGCGUGCGCAGGCGGUUUUGUAAGUCUGAUGUGAAAUCCCCGGGCUCAACCUGGGAAUUGCAUUGGAGACUGCAAGGCUAGAAUCUGGCAGAGGGGGGUAGAAUUCCACGUGUAGCAGUGAAAUGCGUAGAUAUGUGGAGGAACACCGAUGGCGAAGGCAGCCCCCUGGGUCAAGAUUGACGCUCAUGCAUGAAAGCGUGGGGAGCAAACAGGAUUAGAAACCCUGGUAGUCCCAUGA